rnacentral:lncRNA from 10 species
CCCAAGUUUACAGGUCUGGAUCAAAUGGCCAGCAGAAAAUGAUAAGCAUCAAUUAAUGCUGAUUCAAACAAUCAAGACAAAGUGGAUGGAGCAACAUGGAUAACAUAUCCAUCUCUGCAUCAAUCAGUGCUGGACUUGCUGGAGGAAGGACUCACCUUGAGGAAGCAAGUGACCAUGUUGGGAAACCCCAUGUUGUAAGGAAUUGUGGGUGGCCUCUAGGAGCUGAGUGUAGCCUCCAGGAAACAGUCAGCAAGCUCUCAUUACUACCACUGCAGGAGACUGAAUCCUGCCAACUACAUGAAUUCCUGAGCCAUGGACACUGUGAGACAAUGAAUACGUGAUUGUUAAGCUUCUAAGUGUGUGGCUAUAUUGUUGUGCAACACUGAAUGAAUAAUAUGAUUCUGAUGCCAAAAUCGCACUGUGCAGAGGAAGAAGUAUCACCACUCAAUGAGUAAGAUGUUACUGGAUGGUCAAUACAUGAGAAACGGAAUUCAGCCUGGGAAACUUGGUUUAGGGAAAUCCAUGCAUUGUUCUGAAACGGUGUGUUCUCACAAAAUCAAUUGUAUUAAUGUAGAAGAAUAGUUGCCAGUUAUUUUGGGCAAAUCACAACUUCCCUGGUUUUAGCUUUUUUCUCAUCUGUAGAGGGAUAAUAUUUGUCCUUCCUGUAUGGAGAUUGUGAUAAGAUUAAAUUGAGAUCACUGUAAUUCAACAAUCAAGUUUACACUUGUACGGUGCUUUCAUAUAUUAUGCAUGGGCUCCAUUGACAAUUGUUGAAUCCUAGCUAUUCAAGUGAGAGCAUCAACAUAGUACAAAUGAGCUCUCCUCCAUUCUCUGUGACCCACUAUCACUAAUACAUCUGACAUGCACAGAUUCUCCAGUCAGAGUUCCUGAUUUUCUCUCUAUGUCUGAGUUUGUUAAUGCUGUUGUUAAAACACUCACAGUGUGGCCCUUCAUUUUACCUGUGGCAGGUGUAUUAUUCCAGUCUAAGUUACAGGAAUUCUUGUAGAUGAGUUACCUGCUUUACCCUUAAACCUUAUUCUCUGAUGCAGUGGUGUACUUGAAAUUCUCUUUUGUAAAAUCCAGUGCUUUCCGUUUGUUCAUGCUUUGCCAUUAAUAUUCCCUUCACAUUUGCAAGCUUGUCACAAAAUAUGAAUUUAUUUUCAAUCUAUCACCAUUUGUGCAAAUGCUGUUGUCACUGAAGGGUAAAGAUAUAGACAGAAUUUAAAUGCAUAAUAUCACAAAUGUUUUCUAAGCCUUUUUAUUAAUGCAGUUCACAGCACAAUUAACAUAAAUAAUAUUGUUUUUAGUCUACUGGUUCCCAAAAGCAUUAAGAUGCAAAAGCAGACUGUGGGGGGAAAGGAUUCUCAAUAUGGUUAAAAAGAUGUUACUGACUGCAUGCAAAAUGUGGUUCAACUGCUCCUGUAAUAAUAAUAAUAAUAAUAAUAUCUGCAUUAUUGGAGACCUUUUCAUUGUUGUUCAUGUGUUUUUCCUAUUGGAUGAUGUUUCAGCUUAUAAAGCAUCCUUGCUAUCUGGGUGAACCAUCUGUGAUAGCUCCAUUUAAACUGAUUUUCUUUUUUUGUCAAUGACAAGCCCACAUGGGAAAGAGUAAGCAACAU